ACGCCUUGGGCCGGGCCGAGAAUGUUGACAGAUGCGAAGCUCGGUUCCGAUAGGCCGACAGCUGUAGUAACAAUUUAGAAGCCCAAGCUUAGCAACAGCACGUGGUGGCCCGGCCCCCGCGCUUGCUGACUGGUGGCCGUCAUGCAUGUUAAGUAGGUGCCGCGCGCCGAUUGGGCCAGGGCGGUCUAUGUAAAUUGAGACCACCGACCAAUGACCCGCGGCCGGGCGCGCGGCCAAUAAGGGCGCCCCGGCCGAACGCGUUGCUGAGAGGAAGCGGAGCGCGCUGGGACCGCCGCCUGGCGCUCCACCCGGCCAGUAGGACGCGUGCAGCGUCUCCUGAGACCCGAAGCAGGAUGCACUGCGGGACAAGCGCCCUGCCACUCCGCCGGGCCCAUGCACAGUAUGUGCAGGGACUUGUUGCCCAGGUCCAGAUCCAGCACUGGCUCUGCGGGAGGACCAUGCCUAGCCGUCUGUCUGCUCCGGAGUCCCUUGUGGGGCUGCAAACGACACCCUUCUCCGCGGGACAGAGUGGCCUCAGGGAAGGCCUGGACUGGGAGAGGAACGUAAACGGUUGGAGCAUAAAACGAAGGCUUCUCUGAGGUUGUUAGUGGGGAAACCGAGAGCGGAAGUGUCGUUGUCGUUUAUUUAGUGGACACCAGGCUGAAAGUGGGGACCCGGCUAGGGAAGAGGACCGCCGCCACAAGCAGGAGGGGCUCUCAAGAGGAGAGGCUGCUUGUGGUGCCUGAUUUUAAGAGUAAGGCCGUUACAAGAGGCUGGCGCUGGUCCUUAGGCCAAGGCUGCCUUUUCUGGGGAGGAGCGAUUCGCUACUAGGAAGCAAGCGCCUGGCUGGGCGGUUGCGGCCGGCCGCAGUCGUGACCUUGGACUGUAAGGCAGGCUGGGUAGGAGGAAGAAGAGCUGGUAGUCCUAAGGCAGCCUCAGCCCGGCCUCAACCCCUUGAUCUUCAGAUCUUCAUUCUCACUGGCUUUCAAGGUUCGUGGCCUGGGAGCUGCUGAGGGCGGGGCCAAUCAGCUGGAAAGUUUUGUGUCAUAAAGUGACUAGACACCCCCCCACCCCAAGUUCCAUAUGGAAGUGGGGCUCUGCUGCCAAUAAAACAAAACAAAAACUGUUAAAACCUCAGCACUCUAGGUCCUGGGAGCAACAUAAAUGCAUUGCCUGUGUAUAUUUCCACAUACCCAAUUUACAAAUAAGGAACCCCUCAGCAAUCCCAGCAGAAUGGAGAUUGGCACUCCCACAUUGUGACCCAUGGCUGGCUAUGUAGGAGUGUGGCGACCAGAGCCACCUCUGGUCCAGUUGGUUCUGCUGGGGUGUGAGUGACAGCUGUUGAUCUGUGGGAUAGGGUUAAGAAUGUGUGCCCUUAGGGCCCUGCGGGAUCUAAUGGGGAACUUGAUACUUCCUGGAGACAGACCUGCUCCAACACUAAAAAAAAAAAAAAUCGUUGACCUGGGCUCUUCCUGCUCCAGCCCACAACCACCCCAGAGCCAGAAUACAGACUUUAGCCUUUAGUCUUUAGGGCUGCCGCGAGCCAUGCAGGAUGAAGGAGAGUGCCCAACUUUGGGAAGCAGUGAGGCGCAUUCUGCACUCUGGGAACCUGGACUCAACGCCUCGGGGUCAGCAUUUUACAAGGUUGCUCCAUCCCUGCAUUGGCAGCCCGUGGGUUAAGGUGACCUCACCCGCCUCCUGCUGCGAUGGACAGUGGGUUAGGCGUGACAGCAGGGAGCAGCCUUCCUGCUUCCUCUCAGCCUGAGAUUUUUAGCCUAGGCCAAUUCUGAAUCUCCCCUCAUCCAGCUGCAUCCAAGGACCUAGCACUUCCGGUGCCUACGGAGCUUGACCUCACCCUGGAUUGCGGGGGAGCUGGAGAAAGUGGGCAGGCGUGGCUGAGAGAGGGACAGACAGACAGACAUGAAGGAGGAAUGUGGGUCCAGAUGUAGACAUGUUCCGGUGGUAUUGGGGUGGCCUUCCAAGGGGAGAGGCUAAGACUCUGAUGACUGGGCAAGUAUGGGCUGGGCACUGGCCAAGAAACACAGAGGGGCCCCUGCCCCGCCCCACCCAGCCCUGCUACUGCUCCUGGACCCACAGGGCUGCCAGGCCUUUCUCUCAGAGGUGAAGGACCGGGCUGUGCUUAGGAGAAUGUGUGCUGGGCUGGGAGGCAGCGCUGCUCUCAGGGAAGCUGCUGGAGGAGGGGGUCUGGGAGGAAAUAAGCCCCUCUCUCUAGGACUCUGAGAUAUGGGAUGGCAUGAGGUGGGCACCCAUUCCAGCCUCCUUUGGGUCCCAUCGGCCUCCCACUGGCUCCCACUGCAUAGUCCAGAGGGCACCAGGCCAACCCACUCCAGGGUGCUGUUAGCCCUCACCCAACUCUAGUGGUGUGAAGUGUCCAGCUCCAGCCAGGGAGCUCUCUUCCUGGGCUCCUUCCAUUGUUGCUGAGCCAGCCAUGGGCCUCUCUGGACCCUGAAAACUGGGGCCUGCUCACUGGGUCUGGUUGCCCUGAGGGCCUAGUUGUGACUUGCAGUGAGGUGGUCCUUGCACAAAGAUGGUCCUGGAAGCUAGAUGGAGCUGAGGAGACAGUAGAGUGUGGUGCCCCCUGGUGGCAGUUAAGGGCUACAGUAGGAAUCUGUUGGGAGCACAGACCCAAACCACAGGAGGAGAGGGGGUCCCUGCAUCAACCCCCCUCACUUGGCCUCCAGCACUGUCAUCACCAACAAGGAAGGACACCACCAGUCCUUCUGAGCCCCAUGCUGCACUGCCCCAGGGUUAUCUGCUUCCCUGCUUAUGCCCUUUCUGUCCUCACUCAGCCCAGGAAUCAGCUUACUGUAGAGUAGGGACCCUCACACCCUGCGACCUCCAAAAGUCAGACAGGAUUCUGCCCCAGGGCUUCCUUCUGAGCCCCUGGAUACAGCAAGCUCUGGAUGUCUUCCCAGACCCUCCACCCUUGGCCUUGCUAGCUACCCCAUGGAGAGCUGUAGCACCUGGGGGAGGGACUACCUGGCCUAGGGCCCCUUCUGUCACCAAAAGCUGAAGUGGGGGUGUUGGGGAACAAUGACAGGCCCCUUCUCUGUGUAACCAGAAAGCAGUGACAUCCCUGCCUCCAGCUCCAGAAGGUGAACCGUGCUCCUGCUUUCUAAGGUGCCUUACCCAGGAGUAGCAUCUAUGAAAACAAGCCAGUGCUUCCCGAUGUCUCGCUUCACCGUCUUGCUUCUGCCUUCUGUGGGAGCCUCCAAGAAACCUACAACCCAGCUCUGCUGCUCACUGACCUGCAAUCUUCAGCUUCCUGUCUAUGGCAUGGAGAUCUUGCUCCCUCAAGGGAAUCUUAUGGGAUUGCCACAGGCAUGUAUAAAGUGGGGAAUGGCAUUGUUCAGGGCAGUAGCAGGAAGGACAUGAUGAUGGUGUUGAUUAGGAAAUGGGUUUGGGAAGGCCGGCCUGCAGGAGGUCCCAAGGCUGGCUCAAAAGUGCUGACUAUAAACCCAGAGCUCUGGGUAUGCUCCUAGCCCCAGGGCCUCCCAGCCCCAAGGCCCAGCUGUGGGUGGCCAGGAAGCCAUCCCUUCUACAUUCUGUCUGAAUUGCACCUGUCUUGGUCCUGGGUUCUUCCCUUGGGUGGGGACAGCCCCAUAGAAAGGUAGUGAUCAAGCAUCUCAAGUUUAGCAUGGAAAAGUCCUGGAAACUCUGCUCCUGGGCAAAUGGGACUGUUGGUCAUCUCCCUGAAGGACACCUGUGACUCUAGGCCUUUCUGCAGGGCAAUCUGUCUCCGGGCAGCACAAAGGCAGGCCAAGGCUGGCCUGGAGGGCUUCCUAUGAACAGACCACACCCAGCCUUCCUGCCUACCUCCCUGUAGGUUCUUCUCACCUGGUGGACAAGGAGGACACCACACCUCAGGUCUGGAAGGUGACCACUGAGGGUGCCUGUAAGCACAGAGGGAUGCUGCAGUACGUCUCUGUGGGAUUCUGCAGGGCCUGGUUUCCUAGCCUGUGGCAGCAGGGGUGGCCUCCUCCAGAGAGGUGACAAUUCUCCUGUGGACAUGCUAACCAUCAGAGUGUAGGGGUGGUAGAGGGGCCAUUUCUCUGCAUUCUGCCCAGGUAAGCAGGAGGGUGGGUUCAGGUCUUGGAUGGCCAGAGAUGCUGAGGUCCCCCAAGCUGCCCCUUCUGCUCCUGAAGGGCUUGCCCUGCUCAGAGGGAGCCCCAUGUUCUAAAACGUCCUGACUUACGGAGAGUGGAUAUGGUGGCUAUUGUGGCCUCUCACAACUCUGCUCAAGUUUCAAGGGCACAAAGGACAGAGGAAGCCCCAUCACUGGAGUAAUCCAAGGCUGUGCUGGCACUCCUACAGUCUCUUCAUGGCACCCCAAAAGCAGUCCCCAGACUAUGAGGUAGUGAGGCUGGAGACCAAGGCCACAAGGUCAGCCCCCAGUAUAGGGGCCAAGAGUACUAGCCCUGCCCCCAAGCACAGGCCAGGGGUCUCAGCCAAAGAUUCACAUAAGAAGGGGAGCUGCAGGAUGGGCAGCAGUGGAGAAGGGCACUCUCACAGGGCAGGGGACAGGCUUCCAGAGAGUGAGCAGCCACCCCUUUCCUGGAGGCUGAUGGGACGCCAAGUCCUUCAAUCGUCCCAAAGUGCAGAAGCCCUGGCUUCCUAUAGGAGAAUCCAUGACAGCACAAAUACCACCCCUGCCCAGACAGAGGAAAAGGAGUUGAUGCUCACAGAAGACAGGACAGCGUCUGCAAUCUUUAAAUAGAUUUAUGGAAAUGGUUUUGAGUUACAGCUGUUAGAAAAUAAAAAUAAUCUCAAUACAUAAUAUUCCCUCCAAUAUAUAUUCUCCCCUACAGAAGCCAUCUCUGUGCAAGAGUAUUCCACUGCUCAACAGUAAUUGGACUUCAUCCUAUAAAAGAAGCAGUAGGUGUGUCAUCUCUCCAAAAAUAAAACUGCAAUCGUCAUUGCAAUGUGAAGCCUGA